rnacentral:rRNA from 1 species
AGUGAACGCUGGCGGUAGGCCUAACACAUGCAAGUCGAACGGCAGCACAGUAAGAGCUUGCUCUUACGGGUGGCGAGUGGCGGACGGGUGAGGAAUACAUCGGAAUCUACUUUUUCGUGGGGGAUAACGUAGGGAAACUUACGCUAAUACCGCAUACGACCUACGGGUGAAAGCAGGGGAUCUUCGGACCUUGCGCGAUUGAAUGAGCCGAUGUCGGAUUAGCUAGUUGGCGGGGUAAAGGCCCACCAAGGCGACGAUCCGUAGCUGGUCUGAGAGGAUGAUCAGCCACACUGGAACUGAGACACGGUCCAGACUCCUACGGGAGGCAGCAGUGGGGAAUAUUGGACAAUGGGCGCAAGCCUGAUCCGGCCAUACCGCGUGGGUGAAGAGGGCCUUCGGGUUGUAAAGCCCUUUUGUUAGGAAAGAAAAGCAGCAGGUUAAUACCCCGCUGUUCUGACGGUACCCAAAGAAUAAGCACCGGCUAACUUCGUG